AGAAGUAGGCAUGUGUUUUUAGGACCGACAAACGUGAACCUCGCGUGGCCAGAGUUGAACACAGAAAAUGGCGGGGAUAAGCAAUGCUGUGCUUUUGCGAAGCAUUCGAGAAAUACUCAAAGGAGCAGAUCUCUCCUCUCUGUCGGCUAAAAAAGUUCGACGGAAACUUGAGGAAAAAUUUGGAGCAGACUUAACAGAUCGG
rnacentral:lncRNA from 1 species